rnacentral:rRNA from 1 species
UGGCGGCGUGUCUAACACAUGCAAGUCGAACGGAGACGCAUUGGAAGGAGACUUCGGGUCAACGGGAAAAUGUUGCUUAGUGGCGGACGGGUGAGUAACGCGUGAGCAACCUGCCUCUCGAGAGGGGGAUAACGUCCGGAAACGGACGCUAAUACCGCAUAACAUUACGUUAUCGCAUGGUGAUGUAAUCAAAGGAGCAAUCCGCUGAGAGAUGGGCUCGCGUCCGAUUAGAUAGUUGGUGGGGUAACGGCCUACCAAGUCGACGAUCGGUAGCCGGACUGAGAGGUUGAACGGCCACAUUGGGACUGAGACACGGCCCAGACUCCUACGGGAGGCAGCAGUGGAGAAUAUUGCACAAUGGGCGAAAGCCUGAUGCAGCAACGCCGCGUGAGGGAAGACGGUUUUCGGAUUGUAAACCUCUGUCCUGUGUGAAGAUAAUGACGGUAGCACAGGAGGAAGCCACGGCUAACUACGUGCC